GACGAACGCUGGCGGCGUGCUUAACACAUGCAAGUCGAAUGGAAAGGCCCUGCUUUGGUGGGGUGCUCUGCGUGCGAACGGGUAAGUAACACUUGGGUAACCUGCCCUUGACUUUGGGAUAACUUCAUGAAACUUGGGCUAAUACCGGCUAGGAUCUCCUGCUUCAUGGUGGGGGUGGGAAAGUUUCGGCGGUUGGUGGUGGACUCGCGUCUUAUCAGCUUGUUGGUUGGGUAGUGGAUUACCAAGGCUUUGACCGGUAGCAGGCCUGAGAGGGUAACCGGACACACUGGGACUGAGAUACGGCACAGACUAGUCCGGGAGGCAGGAGAGCGGAAUAUUGCACAAUGGGAGGAAGCAUGAUGCAGCACCGCCGCGUGCGGGAUGACGGGAUUCGGGUUGUAAACCGCUUCCGCCUGUCACGAAGCGUGAGUGACGGUACUGGGUAAAGAAGCACCGGCUAACUACGUG
rnacentral:rRNA from 1 species